CUCUCUCCAAAUGGAAGUAAAUUCUGUGGAAGAUCUGUGUAAAUUCGUGAGUUGUAAGCUGUCAAUUACGUCCGAUUACGAAAUUUACAGCUCGACAAUUCGUCUGAUGUGAUUUCACUUUCCUUUUACCUCAGUUAAUUUCCUGCGCGUUUCGGAGAUGCCGCAUCAUAGACGAACUCUGCAGACUAUCGGUUUCUCUCAAACCCGCGCCUCCUCUCGUUCGAAUCUCAGUUUCGGAUACAGGCAUUGGAAGCACUUUGGAGGAAUUUCAGCAAUUGAAGUACCAGAACAACCCAAUUUUGGAUGGUAAAUGGGAUGGAGUUCUUUGCAUUGCUACCACAAGGUGGUAAUACUGCUAAAAGUCAUUAAGUGAAUAAAGCAAGAACGGAGCCUCGUAGCUAUUCUUCAUGUUAGUUCCAUCCUUAAUAAAAUCACGUCUUCUCACUGAAGGCACCUCUGAUAAAGAAAUACAUCAUAUGAAAUAUGACUUGAAAGAAGUUGUCUCCUCUAAAAGACUGGUGACUCUACCAUCUGCAACAAAGAAUGGUGCAAAAUUUAGGUAAUUUCGUCCCUCCUGUCUCUA